GUAUUAAAUAGUUGCGUAAACCACAUCUUCUCCAACUUUAAUGUGGCUGGGAUUCAAGUGGGUAUCUUUCUAAAAUGCAGAUUCUGAUUCAAAAGGUCUGGGGUUGAGUCACAGAUUCUGUAUUUCUUACAACACUGGCAUCUUAUGUGAUGCCACUGUUGCUGGACCAAAGACCAUAUUGUAAGUAGCAAGCAUAUAAACAACCUUGUUUUGUAAAUAAGAAAACAGGAUUAAGACGGCAAAUAAUUUACCACGAUCACAGAGCUACGGUGAGUCAGGAUUUGAAUUCAGGUGUAUCUGACCAACCAAUAAAGAGCCUAUCAAGGUGCUGGAGGAUGCAGGGAUUAGAGCCAGCAGAGUAAGUUUGGAGGAGGAGGCUGACCUCCUUAAAUGUGAGAAUUUACUGGGAAAUGGUGGGAGACAACAUCGGUACCAGAAAUAGAAGUCAUCCACUGCUUAAUAUAGAAUUAGUGCUACAGAGAAGAAACAGAAGUCAAACCUUGUUUCUUGACCUGUGAAUAUCAAGACAUUAAAGAAACAGAAUUGGCAGAGAGAACGAGUAAACCUGAUGAGGCCAUGUCACAGGUACUGGAAAGAAGCAACCAUUAUCGACAUGAGAUAAUGACCAGAGAUCUAGCAGGAGUGGGGAUGUAACAGUAAUUGCCACCAAAGAACCUGAGACUGAUUUGCGAUUUGGGAAAAUGAAUGCAGAACGAGGAGAACUGGUUCCACGGCCGCAUCAGUAGAUAAUUAUUUAAAAAAAUAAAAUAUCUCCUGGAUUGAGCCAGACAGUUGGAUAGCAUACAGACGAUUCCUGGUAGCUGCUACUGUUUUCAUCAAUUAAUUGAGAACACUAGUGGAAGGAAACAAAGAAAGGAAAAGAAAAGAAAGAAAAGGAGAAGAAUAUCUAGAAGAUCUGCUUGUGUAGACUUGCCCUUUGGUCCAACGUGUUACAAAUCAAUGCAAAGACUUCCAAGAUAUAGAAGAGGGAGGUGCAGAACAGACUCUUCGCUGACGUGCUUGGGACACUGUGGAAGUUUUAUAAGCAUGUCUGGCUGAAUUUAAUGCUGUAGUUUUUAACCGACAUCUAAUAUAUGUGGAGAUGCUAACCUGAUUCCAGGACUAUUGAUUUACUUGUUCUUUCGUGCCG
rnacentral:lncRNA from 1 species